AGAGAGAAAGGAUUUCAAUGUUCAGCUUCUGAUAUUCAAAAUAGCGUUUUCAACAAGACAGUAAGUAGCCUUAUAACCCCUAAGCUAUCGUCUCAAGAUUUUCUAAAUUCUUUCAUAUCUCAAUUUUCACCCAAGAACCCUCCUGGAGGCUUCAGCUCACAGAGUAGAAACAGCCCUUCUGCCUGUACUGCUAGGCCGGGAGGCCUGUUCCUCUAUGGCUGAUUGACUAUUUGACAUAGGAAAAUAAAAGAAAAGCCCACCUGUCCUGGCUUGAGGGAAUUGGGGAAGAAGAAAAGAGAGAUGCAGAACAGUCCAGGCACUAGAGAUGUUUAGGAGCCAGGUGUGGUGCUUUGCUUGGGUAUCCUUCCAGGUUUUGGAGGGAGGCAAGCAGCCCACCUGUGACCUAUGGCCCACCUGUGAACCCCACCCUAGGACCAACAAUCCCAUGGUUACUCUGAAAGGAAACAUACUGAGAAGAGAUAAAGAGUGCAUAUUAGCUUCGUAGGGCCUCCUACCCCAUAGAUUCCAGAACCCCCUUCUCCUCGGUGCCAUGAGGUCACAGGAACCUCCUCUCCCAACCCCCAGUCCCAUGAGUCCAGGGAGGGGCAGGCUCUCUGAGAAACUGAUCAUUUUUAUGCAAAAGAGACUAAGAUUUCUCUAGAGGGACUAUUUCAAUUAUUACAUCAGACUAGGUUAUAAUCCGGAAUGGACUAAAUUAAAGUUGUUGCUGUUUUCCCACUACCCAGGGGUUGGGAGUCUGGAAGACCACAGCAGUUACAAACAAAACAUGGCACAUUUUCACCGUACAUCCCAGGAGUAGUUUGAACAGUUUAAGGCCCCACCUGUUUGUGUGCUUGCAUAAGCGUAUGCGGUGCAUAAACAUUCGCCAGCUCACUGCAGGAAGUUGCGCACAUGCCAG